rnacentral:rRNA from 1 species
GACGAACGCUGGCGGCGUGCUUAACACAUGCAAGUCGAACGAAGUGGCGAACGGGUGAGUAACGCGUAAUCAACCUGCCCUUCAGAGGGGGACAACAGUUGGAACCGACUGCUAAUACCGCGUACUGACGGCGGGGCUUGCGUCUGAAUAGCUGGGUGGCGGGGUAACGGCCCACCAAGGCGAUGAUCAGUAGCGUGUCUUGUGUGAAUGAGGGCCACAGUUGGACUGGGGCUCGGCCCCGACGCCUAAGGCGAGCAGCAGUGGGGAAUCUUCCUGCAUGGACGAAAGCCUGUCGGCGCAACGCCGCGUGAGUGGUAACGGUCUUCGGGUUGGAAAGCUUUGUUAAGCGGUACGCGGUACCGGAAUAGAAAGCCACGGGUAACUACGUGCCAGCAGCCGCGGUAAUAC